UACGGGGGGGGCAAGCGUUGUUCGGAAUUACUGGGCGUAAAGGGUUCGUAGGUGGCCAACUAAGUCAGACGUGAAAUCCCUCAGCUUAACUGGGGAACUGCGUCUGAUACUGGUUGGCUUGAGUGCAGGAGAGGAACGCGGAAUUCCAGGUGUAGCGGUGAAAUGCGUAGAUAUCUGGAGGAACACCGGUGGCGAAGGCGGCAUCCUGGACCAAUACUGACACUGAGGAGCGAAAGCCAGGGGAGCGAACGGG
rnacentral:rRNA from 1 species